GCAAGUCGAGCGAACAGAUAAGGAGCUUGCUCCUUUGACGUUAGCGGCGGACGGGUGAGUAACACGUGGGUAACCUACCUAUAAGACUGGGAUAACUUCGGGAAACCGGAGCUAAUACCGGAUAACAUUUGGAACCGCAUGGUUCUAAAGUGAAAGAUGGUUUUGCUAUCACUUAUAGAUGGACCCGCGCCGUAUUAGCUAGUUGGUAAGGUAACGGCUUACCAAGGCGACGAUACGUAGCCGACCUGAGAGGGUGAUCGGCCACACUGGAACUGAGACACGGUCCAGACUCCUACGGGAGGCAGCAGUAGGGAAUCUUCCGCAAUGGGCGAAAGCCUGACGGAGCAACGCCGCGUGAGUGAUGAAGGGUUUCGGCUCGUAAAACUCUGUUAUUAGGGAAGAACAAAUGUGUAAGUAACUGUGCACGUCUUGACGGUACCUAAUCAGAAAGCCACGGCUAACUACGUGCCAGCAGCCGCGGUAAUACGUAGGUGGCAAGCGUUAUCCGGAAUUAUUGGGCGUAAAGCGCGCGUAGGCGGUUUCUUAAGUCUGAUGUGAAAGCCCACGGCUCAACCGUGGAGGGUCAUUGGAAACUGGGAAACUUGAGUGCAGAAGAGGAAAGUGGAAUUCCAUGUGUAGCGGUGAAAUGCGCAGAGAUAUGGAGGAACACCAGUGGCGAAGGCGACUUUCUGGUCUGUAACUGACGCUGAUGUGCGAAAGCGUGGGGAUCAAACAGGAUUAGAUACCCUGGUAGUCCACGCCGUAAACGAUGAGUGCUAAGUGUUAGGGGGUUUCCGCCCCUUAGUGCUGCAGCUAACGCAUUAAGCACUCCGCCUGGGGAGUACGACCGCAAGGUUGAAACUCAAAGGAAUUGACGGGGACCCGCACAAGCGGUGGAGCAUGUGGUUUAAUUCGAAGCAACGCGAAGAACCUUACCAAAUCUUGACAUCCUUUGAAAACUCUAGAGAUAGAGCUUUCCCCUUCGGGGGACAAAGUGACAGGUGGUGCAUGGUUGUCGUCAGCUCGUGUCGUGAGAUGUUGGGUUAAGUCCCGCAACGAGCGCAACCCUUAAGCUUAGUUGCCAUCAUUAAGUUGGGCACUCUAGGUUGACUGCCGGUGACAAACCGGAGGAAGGUGGGGAUGACGUCAAAUCAUCAUGCCCCUUAUGAUUUGGGCUACACACGUGCUACAAUGGACAAUACAAAGGGCAGCUAAACCGCGAGGUCAUGCAAAUCCCAUAAAGUUGUUCUCAGUUCGGAUUGUAGUCUGCAACUCGACUACAUGAAGCUGGAAUCGCUAGUAAUCGUAGAUCAGCAUGCUACGGUGAAUACGUUCCCGGGUCUUGUACACACCGCCCGUCACACCACGAGAGUUUGUAACACCCGAAGCCGGUGGAGUAACCAUUUAUGGAGCUAGCCGUCGAA
rnacentral:rRNA from 1 species